GAGCGAGCGGGAAGAGCUCAAAUUUAUAAUCUGGCACCUUCGGUGUCCGAGUUGUAAUCUCUAGAAAUGUUUUCCGCGUUGGACCGCACACAAGUCUGUUGGAAUACAGCGGCAUAGUGGUGAGACCCCCGUAUAUGGUGCGGACGCCCAGCGCUUUGUGAUACAUUUUCGAAGAGUCGAGUUGUUUGGGAAUGCAGCUCAAAUUGGGUGGUAAAUUCCAUCUAAAGCUAAAUAUUGGCGAGAGACCGAUAGCGAACAAGUACCGUGAGGGAAAGAUGAAAAGCACUUUGGAAAGAGAGUUAACAGUACGUGAAAUUGUUGGAAGGGAAACGCUUGAAGUCAGACUUGCUUGCCGAGCAAUCGGUUUGCAGGCCAGCAUCAGUUUUCCGGGAUGGAUAAUGGUAGAGAGAAGGUAGCAGUUUCGGCUGUGUUAUAGCUCUCUGCUGGAUACAUCUUGGGGGACUGAGGAACGCAGUGUGCCUUUGGCGGGGGUUUCGACCUCUUCACACUUAGGAUGCUGGUGGAAUGGCUUUAAACGACCCGUCUUGAAACACGGAC
rnacentral:rRNA from 1 species